GAUGAAGAACGUAGCGAAAUGCGAUAAGUAAUGUGAAUUGCAGAAUUCAGUGAAUCAUCGAAUCUUUGAACGCACAUUGCGCCCGCCAGUAUUCUGGCGGGCAUGCCUGUUCGAGCGUCAUUACAACCCUCAGGCCCCCGGGCCUGGCGUUGGGGAUCGGCGAGGCGCCCCCCGCGGGCACGCGCCGUCCCCCAAAUACAGUGGCGGUCCCGCCGCAGCUUCCAUUGCGUAGUAGCUAACACCUCGCAACUGGAGAGCGGCGCGGCCAUGCCGUAAAACACCCAACUUCUGAAUGUUGACCUCGAAUCAGGUAGGAAUACCCGCUGAACUUAAGCAUAUCAAUAAUCGGAGGA
rnacentral:misc_RNA from 1 species